UAGUAGUAGUAGUAGUAGUAGUAGUAGUAGCAGUAGUAGUAGUAGUAGUAGUAGUAGUAUAGUAUAUAGUAGUAGUAGUAGUAGUAGUAGUAGUAGUAGUAAGGGUAGUCAUAUAGUAGUAGUAGUAGUAGUAGUAGUAGUAGUAUAGGUAGUCAUAUAGUAGUAGUAGUAGUAGUAGUAGUAAGGGUAGUCAUAUAGUAGUAGUAGUAGUAAUUAGGAUGAUCAGAGUGAACUGUUAAUAUUUUGUUCAACAAUCUUUUUUUUUUUUUUUCAUUUAAUCCUGCCUUUCAGAAUCUAAAUAAGGUAUUUACAUGUCUCCCAGAAGACAAAAUACUAACAAUUUACACUGAUCAUCCUUUUCAAAAGUUUACACUCCCCUGGCUCUUAAUGUAUCGUGUUGC
ensembl:lncRNA